AGAAGACAUAGUUCUUCACGUGUUCACUGUGUUCAACAAACCUGUUUAUUCAAAUCUGUUCAAAACUUUAAACUUUAAACUAGUUUAAUGUUUUGAACAACGCGCUUAUCGCUACAAAGCAGAAGUUUCAGGAAAUAAUUGAGAGGACAGGGAUAAAUCACCUUUUCAUGGCUGAAUUGGCCUGUACCACAGUGAGGCACUUCUGUCUCAGUCACAUGAAAGAAGAGCCCCUGGAAUAACCGAACAAAGAAAAGCAGCUAUUACAGCUGUUGAGGAGGAAGGUCACAUUGGAGGGCUUUCAGAUUUUUGUCUCAGUCGUCCAACCAGCAGCAGAGGAGGAUGAACAAAUCUUUCUUCUUUGCACAGCAAGCUGCUAAGAAUCUUUAGUGGCAUUCAGAUCAUCACUCUCUGAAGGGCAUGCAAAACUAGCAUAGCUUUUGGAGCUUGAACAGAGUGUUCUGAAGUUCCAUUAAGACAGUUUUACCUUUCACUCAGCAAGUCCAUUCACCCAACAAUUCAUAGUCAGACACACUUAAUUUUCACUGAAACGGCUGCAUUUAACUACAUUUUGACAUUACCAUAUACUUAACAUUCUGAAAAAGCAGUCAAAAGCACUGCCCUCAACUCUGACAGCAGACUUGUCAAUAAUGUAGACUCACGGUGUUCCAGACUCUUUGCACAGUAAACGUCCCAUAAGAAAUCAAUCCGCGAAAUGCCUUACACACAUAUCAAAGUUUGAUUGACACAGUUUGGGCGAUUUUGAAAAAAACUGCUGAGAAACACAGUGUCUGGAAUACAGUGAGGACUCACGGUGUUCCGGACGUCUGGAAAUUUCAACUCAGUGUUAUUUCAACUAAAUUUUUUAUUGGGUCCUCAAAUAUGGAAUUAACAUUUUAACAUCAAGGGACAAUGCGCCGCUGGCGCUCAAAUUCAUGUCGGACAAAGUGCCUCAGUAAAUGUGUAUGCCUUAAAAUAGUCCAAAUAUUUGCCAAUUGUAAUUCAUAACUAUUUUAGGAGACGUUUUUGUAAUUUUUCUGGUGGGUGUUCAUGUUUAAAACCCCAUUCUUAGCGGAGGUAUGACUCUCCCCUCUUCCUUUUGUCUGGCUGGAAAACCCUCCGCCGCCAUUUUCUGACCAGUCAUUGGUGCACGCUGUAAACUCACGUUGAUUUCUUUACUACUGGCUAUGGAAAGAAGGGGUUGGUCGGAAUUGAAAGGAGGAGACAAGGAUUAUGCAGAUAUAUAUACUGACCAUGACCUGGAAGUAUUUACAAAUUAGCAUGAAAAGGUCAAAUGUUCGGAAUACCGUGAUGUCUGAAAUACAGUGAGUCUACAUUACCAGACAAAAGACAAGAGGCAGACAACAUAAUAAUGAGCUAAUUCAUUCAAAUUGCUGGAGACAACACUGAUUCAGCGCCGUCAGAUAUUGUUGAGGAUGGAGUGUCAGUGGAACAGUUUCUGAAAAACAAGGAACUGAGUGUGCCACUGUCUAGUACCGCAAACUGUGUUGAAUCAGAUUUACUUUACUUAUGUUGCUUAUGGCAUCGAUGGUAUAGUGAUCGGGUUUAAGUAUGUGCGUGGAGUACGUACACCUGUGCACUGUAUGUACCUGACAAAACUUAUACGGAUGAAGCAACACCAUCUCUUGAAAAAGCACAUUGUGCUGAGACGGUGCUUGGAGGAUACACACCUUUCACAACAGCACAUGUUGGGUAGUGCCGAUGGGGCUAUUUCAUCGAUCUUUCUGUCCUCCCGAAAAACUUUGAGUCCAAAUGCCAUCUAUGCUUUGAUCCACUGGUAGCCCCCAUCAAAGCCACCAAGAUGAUCAACAUGGUGAUUGAAAUUUUGAAUGGGAGACUGUGGAAGCUCAAUGAAUCAGACAUGGUGAGGCCAAGCAUACAAAAGAACAGCUUGUCUGACCUGUCGUCUCCUCAUACAGGACCAGCUUUUCUUUUUUGGUGUAGUGGAUGAGUGCCUUGUUGAAUUGUACAGCAAUGACCCUGAAGUCUGUGUCAAGGUGACACUAACCAAGUCUAGCCAGAAGGAUGGGACUUCUGUUGAACUUGCAGAACUGGUCAGCAUCAGGGAAGUUGGGAAAAUGGUAAGAUGGUUCACGGGCAUCCGCAAACUUUAAAAGGUUUUGGCCCAUUGUGAGUGGCUUGCCAUCCAAAUUGCUCUGGUAAUUUGCGCACUCAAACAGCUUACCAAUCCAAUUAUCAUGAGGUCUGUCCUGGACCAAAAGUUGAAGGGCCUGGCCAUCACAGACCUGGGACCACCAAAGGGAAACGGCGUGGUGGCAACAAUGCCAUUCCAGGCUGGUGAUGUAGUCCUUUGACUACCAUGGGGAGCUAGUCACAGAGGAAGAGGGAAGGCAAAGGCAAGUACCAGAUGGUACUGAAAUGUAGUUUUUCUACUUCAAAAGCCACAAUGGUGCAAGGAUGUGCCUGGACACGCAAAAAUUCCCUGCUUCUGCCACCCACAUUGACACUUUGGGCAGGAGGAUGAACUCCAAUGUUAAGCGGUGUUCUUCAUGUUGCCUUUUUCUGGGGGACUCAAGGAUAAUAUGCUCUUUGUUGCCAUUAGAAAUGUGAAGGUAAAUGAGAAGCGCAAGUAAGACUAUGGCAUGAGACAGUCAUCUUUUGGAGGCCGAAAUCUGGAAUGGCUGAACAAGUAGUACAUAGAACAGAAAUAUGUAAAAAAAAAAAAAGAAAAAAGUACUUGCCUGUAUUAAUAUAGACUUGUUAAUAACACACCCACCAUUGUGUCCCUGAGCAAGAUACUUAACCCCUAGUUGCUCCAGAGAUGUAAGACCUGACAUAUAUAGCAAUUGUUAGUCGCUUUGGA